rnacentral:rRNA from 1 species
GACGAACGCUGGCGGCGUGCUUAACACAUGCAAGUCGAACGGCAAGGCCCUGCUUUUGUGGGGUGCUCGAGUGGCGAACGGGUGAGUAACACGUGUGUAACCUGCCCUUGACUUUGGGAUAACUUCAGGAAACUGGGGCUAAUACCGGAUAGGAGCUCCUGCUGCAUGGUGGGGGGUGGAAAGUUUCGGCGGUUGGGGAUGGACUCGCGGCUUAUCAGCUUGUUGGUGGGGUAGUGGCUUACCAAGGCUUUGACGGGUAGCCGGCCUGAGAGGGUGACCGGCCACAUUGGGACUGAGAUACGGCCCAGACUCCUACGGGAGGCAGCAGUGGGGAAUAUUGCACAAUGGGCGGAAGCCUGAUGUAGCAACGCCGCGUGCGGGAUGACGGCCUGCGGGUUGUAAACCGCUUUCGCCUGUGACGAAGCGUGAGUGACGGUAAUGGGUGAAGAAGCACCGGCUAACUACGUG